UAAAAUAACUUUUGUAGCGUAAGAGUAAAAUAAAUUUAUUCAUAUAGUAAUAAAAGAUAAUUAAAGUAUGAAAUUUCGUUUACAGUGACACGUGGGCCCUCAACUAACCAAGAAGGUGUAGAGCUACGAACCCUUACUUCCUAUGAUGCAACUCUGAGAUUAAUUCUCGUCUUAAUCAACUAUCAACAAACUGUCCUGAGCCUGUAAAAUGGAUAGGAAGAAGGGUGAGAUUAAAUAAUCCCAGUGAGUAAACAAUUACCAUCAAAAGCAUUUAAAACCGAGUAAAUGGAGACAAUAUAAAAACGUUAUAUCUCAAUAAUGUUCAUAACACAAAAUUCAUUUCAAUCUAUACCAAAUAAUUUCUUUUCAUCAAAAUUUCCCAGCUUAUGAAUUUCUUAAACUUGGCCCCUGCCAGAAUCAUUCUCGCGGGUACCUUCGUCAAGGUAUCCCACUGAGACCGCCAAGGCUAUUCAAUGAUCCAUACCCAUAAACAUGUUUUCACAUCUAACACACAGCUGUUCCUUGGCGUUGGCUGAGUCUCACUCUCACGUGGUGGCCCGAACGUGAGGUGUACUCAAAUCAUACCUCAAGAGAUACUUCACCCAACAUCUCCCCCGUGAGGUAAAUAUAUAAUUGAGUUACCGUGCUCCUCUCAUAGGCAGUCCACGAAAACUCCCACCACUGCAAUGACCGUUUAAUAUACCACUAGACCCAUAAAAUUUUCAAUAGCAUAAUAUGGCGAAUAAAAUUUAAUCCAGUCUAUCGAGACCAAUCCAAAACUGUUCAUAUAUUUCAUGUCAACCCCAAAAAUUUAGCCAUCAUGCUACCAUAGUGUCAUAAGCCCCAAUUUCAAUAACAUAUAAAAUCAUAAAUUUCAACACAGUCUCCAUAUACUCAAUUUUCCCAUAACAAUAUUAGUUUUCAAAACCAAUAUAAAUCUCAUUUUUAUUAAAAAAAUAUUUUAAUUAGAAAACAUAAUAUUUUAUAAUUUAAGCUCACCAUUCAAUAAAAGCAUCAAACAGGUAUAAUAACUCUAGAUAUUUAAGAUGAUAAGUUGUCCACUCACAGUUCUAGGAGUCAAUGUACUCCCAAUCUCAGUCUUCAAGCACAAUUUU
rnacentral:lncRNA from 1 species